UCCUGUCUGAAUAUGGGGGGACCAUCCUCCAAGGCUAAAUACUCCUGACUGACCGAUAGUGAACCAGUACCGUGAGGGAAAGGCGAAAAGAACCCCGGCGAGGGGAGUGAAAAAGAACCUGAAACCGUGUACGUACAAGCAGUGGGAGCACCCUUUGGGGUGUGACUGCGUACCUUUUGUAUAAUGGGUCAGCGACUUAUAUUCUGUAGCAAGGUUAACCGWAUAGGGGAGCCGKAGGGAAACCGAGUCUUAACCGGGCGUUAAGUUGCAGGGUAUAGACCCGAAACCCGGUGAUCUAGCCAUGGGCAGGUUGAAGGUUGGGUAACACUAACUGGAGGACCGAACCGACUAAUGUUGAAAAAUUAGCGGAUGACCUGUGGCUGGGGGUGAAAGGCCAAUCAAAC
rnacentral:rRNA from 1 species